rnacentral:lncRNA from 1 species
CAUCGCUAUUGCGGCAUUCUCCCUCGGCUCCGGAGGUAGGGGCAACUCUUCUCUUCCUGUCUGGGAAAAAGACCAUAGCUCAAAAGGAAGGCCGAGGGAGAAGUUAGAAAGGGAUGAUGAACGAAGCGUUUUGAGGGGACUGCAACGCCGCGGCAAUACCCGCCCCUGAGCUGCGCGCACUACCGCCUCGGUAGCUAUCAUGGCCGCCGGGUCACGUGACUCCGGCUUGGCGCCGUCCUGGUUUUCCGUCACCCUGGUUCUGUAGUCUCGGUUCUCCGACUCCCUCUUUUUCUCGCUUGUGGACUCCGAUAUAUUGCCCUUCUUCCCUUAGAAGAACUGCUGAACCGACUCUGAGAAAUUUGGAACUCCCGAAAACUGAAGACCGCCGGGUCGCAGAAGGGGAGAAGAUGGGGCAGGGGCAGAAACCCUCUUCUUUCCUGAAGUAAAGAUUCGCAAAACUUCAGACAUUUUCAUCCAGGAAGUAGGAGGCCGCAUUAAAAGAAGUAUUUGUGGAAGAUUUCGCAGCCUCAAAAAACAUCUGGAGAAAAUGACCCAUUGGUUUCAUAGGAACCCAUUAAAAGCCACAGCUCCUGUGUCUUUUAAUUACUAUGGUGUAGUCACUGGCCCUUCUGCUUCAAAAAUAUGCAAUGACUUGAGGUCAUCCAGGGCACGACUCCUUGAACUGUUCACUGAUUUGAGCUGUAAUCCAGAAAUGAUGAAGAAUGCAGCAGAUUCAUAUUUCUCACUUUUACAAGGUUUCAUAAAUUCUUUGGAUGAAUCUACCCAAGAAAGCAAGUUACGAUAUAUUCAAAAUUUCAAGUGGACUGAUACAUUGCAAGGACAGGUUCCAAGUGCCCAGCAGGAUGCUGUUUUUGAAUUAAUUUCCAUGGGAUUUAAUGUAGCUUUAUGGUAUACCAAAUAUGCUUCAAGACUGGCUGGAAAAGAAAAUAUAACAGAAGAUGAAGCAAAAGAAGUUCAUCGAAGCCUAAAGAUUGCAGCUGGGAUUUUUAAACAUUUAAAGGUAA